rnacentral:rRNA from 1 species
AUUGAACGCUGGCGGCAGGCCUAACACAUGCAAGUCGAGCGGAGCGGCGGACGGGUGAGUAAUGCCAAGGAAUCUGCCUGGUAGUGGGGGAUAACGUCCGGAAAUGGGAGCUAAUACCGCAGACUAUAAGAUGAGGCUAGGGCGGAUUAGCUAGUUGGUGGGGUAAAGGCCUACCAAGGCGACGAUCCGUAACGGGUCUGAGAGGAUGAUCAGUCACACUGGAACUGAGACACGGUCCAGAUUCCUACGGGAGGCAGCAGUGGGGAAUAUUCGGCAAUGGGCGAAAGCCUGAUCCAGCCAUGCCGCGUGUGUGAAGAAGGUCUUCGGAUUGUAAAGCACUUUAAGUUGGGAGGCGUUACCAACAGAAUAAGCACCGGCUAACUUCGUGCCAGCAGCCGCGGUAAUUC